GGAACAUCUGAGAUUCACCUAAAGCUUCUCAAUUGGCCUCUGUGGUCUUUUAUGCUGCACCUCCAGUUACCCAAUUAGUGCCUUGUUAACAAACACCUGCCAUGUAUUUAUUGCUGGCUGUUGUAGUACUUUUAACCUGUAAUGCCCAGUGGCACCUACAUCCUUCUCAGAAGCUUUGUGCACAGGCUUCAAUAAGAAAAGUGUUAUUUGUGCAAAACCAGAGCGGUUUCCAUAGCUGUUAAGCACUGGCACUUUUUGCCUCUCUGCUCAUGGAGUGUUGGGUGUUUUGAAACCGAGAGGGGAUGGAAGGAGAAAAGGAGAUACUUGGUGGGACAGAUGAGUUUUGGGAGGAUGGGCCACACUCAGUACCUUGUGUGACUGCACCCAACAAUAUUUAGCAGGAAUCAGGGAAUGCUGGGAAUACCAAUUUUUCUGAUCUUUACAAUAGAUAUUUCCUGCAAGCUUCUGAUUUUCACUGUGCCUGUUCUACCAUCAAAACCUCAGUUCCCCACCGCAAGGGGAGGUUAUAUGACUCAGAUCACUCUGGUGUCAGGCAGAAGGGUGUUGAACACAAGGGGAUAAAUGCUCUUAUUACAACAAAGAGUCAUCUUUUCCAAUGAUCAUCUUCAGUGUAGUGGCAGGAUUUCCUCGAUUGAUACCUUUCAUCUGUGGAAUUCACAACAAUGCAAUAAUCCUCCUAACAGCUUUUGUAGUUCUGAGAGCCUGGACACACCAGUUGGUGAGGCCACCCUGGCUCCUCAUUCCCAGGAAUGUCAGUGCCUGCAGGGAUUUUGGAUCUUCAGUGUUCUCUGUUCAUCUGGAGAAGGGUGAGCAGAGCCCCCAGAAUGGGAAGCCAGGAGCCAGGAUACCUAUAAGCCCCAAAAGGGCUGCCCACACUGUGCUACUUGAAGAGAAGACAGGAAAGAAUUGAGCAACCCAAACCUAAAGGAUUCUAAGUGUUCAUCUGCAAAGAGGAGUUUUGAUUGUCAUCUGAAUGAGGGUCUGGAGUCAGCCUAUAUCCAGUGGUGGGUUCAGAGUAGAUUGAAAUAAAGUUCUUCCAGAUUGGAAGUUCUCAAACCAGUGAAGCAGAGAUGAAGUGCUUCCACUGCAAUGGAAGAGCAAGAAGAGCCCACAAAAUCUUCUGUCUGACUAUGAUGUGUCUUACCAGGAGGGAGCAAAAAGCUUUAUCUGGAGGAGCUGGAGACUGGGAUAUAGUGGGCUAAGAUUUAUAUAUAAGGAAAGAGGCAGAGCAAAGGCCUACACUGUUGUGAGAGAGAAGAAAAAGAAAUGACCACAGAAUUUGGAAACUGAAAAGAAACUGCUCAACCAACAUGGCUACAUAUCUUUGGCCAUAGUUAAAAAUGUUCCUUUGGAAAUCACAUCAGAAUGGUUUUGUUGGACAUUCAGUGUGAUGUGGAGACCCAGCACUUGCUGUGAACACAGUGGUUUGCACAGGUAAGCAAGGCUGUGAAUGGUGUGUGCUACUGAGCUGGCACCUAAACCAACAGACACUGGAACAUGCCAGACUUCAGCUGGCCAAAGCCCUGAAGGAUUCCUCUUUGUUUCCUUCCUUUUCCUCCUGCCCCCUCACAAAGACUGGAAAGAAUGGCACAGAGAUCCUCUAAUCAAACAGUAACACCUUCAAACAUCUCGAUCUGUAAAUGACAAUGAGUAAUAAAUAGAUUUCACUAAAACUAUUUCAGGGGUGUGAGUGAAUGUAUUGAUCUGUCCGCUCUCUGUGGCUGGAGCCAAAGAACAAAGCUCCUGAUUCACAGAAGUGCUGAGAACCUGCUGCUCCAGUUGAAGUGGCUGGGAGAGUCAGGCUGUCAUCACGUCUGGCAGCCAGAGCGUGUGUGACUCAGGCUGGGGCUCUCAAAUCAGCAGCCUCUAUGCGUUAACUUGGCUGGGGCUGGCAUUGGGGGGAAUUUGUGCUGAAUGAUGCCUUGGAGUACAUUUCAGGACUCCAACCCUGUGGGAAGUCCAACUUGCUCUUCAAAAUCAUGUUUCUUACCAGGUCUUUACUAACAAGGGUUU